rnacentral:rRNA from 1 species
AGCAGCCGCGGUAAUACGGAGGGUGCGAGCGUUAAGUCGGAAUUACGUGGGACGUAAAGCGCAUGCAGGCGGCCGUAGUUAAGUCAGAUGUAGAAACGGCCCGGGGACCGUUAACCGUACGGUAAGUUGCUAUUUAGUAAACGUGGCGAGGCUAGAGUCUUGUAGAGGGGGGUAGGAAUUUCAGGUGUAGCGGUGAAAUGCGUAGAGAUCUGAAGGAAUACCAGUGGCGAAGGCGGCCCCCUGGACAAAGACUGACGCUCAGAUGCGAAAGCGUGGGGAGCAAACAGGAUUAGAUACCCUGGUAG